rnacentral:lncRNA from 1 species
UGGAAUGGUGUGAUGGACAAGACUUUUACUAUCAGGUCUGAUGUUAUUCUUUCAUAUUAUUUUAACUGAUUUGUUAUCGUUAUGCUAUCUAAUUCUUUUUGCAGAAUUAAAUCACCUUUUGUGAUCGCUGUAUUAUAUUAAGAUUAGCAAGCUGUUUGAUGGGAUGUAGAUCUAAUGGUUGUGGUUAGGAUUAAAGUUAAACACUUUAAGCAUUUAUCUUAGUGGAACGCGAAUACACCUAUAUAUAUGUAAUAUACACAAGUACUCUCAAUUUUUACACAGUAUUAUCAUAGGUCUCCUAAACUUACUAAGCGUGCUACUCAAGGUUCAAAUCUUGCUAAUCAGUGUAGAUGUUCAAAUCUUGCUAUUUUCCAUACUAGCAGAGGUUGGAAUUUAGAAAUAAAUUUAGGGAGUUACUUUAGGUUAUUUUUAUAAUGAC